rnacentral:rRNA from 1 species
GAUGAACGCUAGCGGCAGGCCUAAUACAUGCAAGUCGAGGGGUAGAAGAGGCUUGCUUCUUUGAGACCGGCGCACGGGUGCGUAACGCGUAUGCAACCUACCUUCAUCUGGGGGAUAGCCCGGAGAAAUCCAGAUUAAUACCGCAUAAAAUCACAGGAUGGCAUUAUCCAAUGAUCAAACAUUUAGGGGAUGGAGAUGGGCAUGCGUGUCAUUAGCUAGUUGGCGGGGUAACGGCCCACCAAGGCGACGAUGACUAGGGGAUCUGAGAGGAUGGCCCCCCACACUGGUACUGAGACACGGACCAGACUCCUACGGGAGGCAGCAGUAAGGAAUAUUGGUCAAUGGAGGCAACUCUGAACCAGCCAUGCCGCGUGCAGGAAGACUGCCCUAUGGGUUGUAAACUGCUUUUAUUCGGGAAUAAACCUUAUUACGUGUAAUAAGCUGAAUGUACCGAAGGAAUAAGGAUCGGCUAACUCCGUGCCAGCAGCCGCAGUAA